UACGGGGGGGGCAAGCGUUGUUCGGAAUUACUGGGCGUAAAGGGCGUGUAGGUGGCCAACUAAGUCCGACGUGAAAUCCCCAGGCUUAACCUGGGAACUGCGUCGGAUACUGGAUGGCUUGAAUUCGGGAGAGGGAUGCAGAAUUCCAGGUGUAGCGGUGAAAUGCGUAGAUAUCUGGAGGAAUACCGGUGGCGAAGGCGGGUCUCUGGGCAACAACUGACGCUGAGGAGCGAAAGCGUGGGGAGCGAACAGG
rnacentral:rRNA from 1 species